CAAACAUUAAUUAAUUCUCCUUCCUUAUCUUCUUUCUGCGGUUCAACCCUUCCAACUCUGGCAUGGAAAGCGACUCACACCUGCGUUCCGUAACGGUGCAGAUCUUCUCCGCUGUGCGACCACCGAUCGCCGACAACAAGCAUGUCGUGGGUGGUUUAGGAGAGGAAAGGACGAGCUGACGGCUGAACGAUCUGACGACUUUGCAAGCGACCAUUGAUUCGGAUCGGAGAGACAACCGUUGUGAGACAAAGCCAAAUCCGAACGUUGGGGAAGGCAUCUGUAUAUAAAGGAGGGAGAUAAGGUGUGUUUCCUACAUUUAAACAAUCAUCAUGUUUUGUUAAGACUCGUUGUUUUGAGUACAAAUUUGUAUUAGUUUAUAGUAGAAAUUAGUAUUUGAUCCCUUGAAUUUGAUUGUAUUGAAUUAAAUUUGGUGAUUUGAAACAUCAUUUGGAAACCCCCAACUUGAGUUUAGGGUUUAUUUUGUUCAUAUUUAAUUUAUUUGAAAUUGUUCUUGUCU